AACAUAGGCUACUUUUUAAUAAAAAGGGUAGAAGGCGUAGUAUGUUUGAUAGAGGAGAUUAAUGUUUGCUUGAAAAUUCGUCAUUUUCGUUAAUACGUUGCCCGUGGCUUCACUCGCGUUCGAUUCUUAUUUAAAUACACAUAUACUUAUUUAAAUCGCCAAUAUCCCUACUACCAUACUAAUGUUAUGAAUGCGAAAGUAAUCCUGUUUGUGUUGAGGUUACGCUUGCACGAAUGUUUUUUUUUUGGAAUAUAACAACGAAACAAUGUAUUUUUUUAUUGAUAGGCAAUAUAUAGGAAAUUAAAGGAUAAUAAUAUAGAUAACCUUGGCUACUUUUCAUCAUGAUUAUAAAAUGAUGAAUCGGCGGUCGUGGUUUCUUUGGAAUACAUAUCUUUAAAAAUGCUAACAGUAACAUAUUCUCAAGUAAUU